GUUGGACCGGUUCAGGUAGAUACAAGAAACUCAAGAGUCAAGAUAACAUAUUUUCUGCAACCAUGAAUAUAAAAUCUACUUAAACGCGUUUAAUUUAUCUAAAUUAGUACUCCACCUAACCUUAGUGCAUGUUCUCUACAUAUAAAUACAUACACAAAUUCCAAACUGAUCAUCAAACUUAGAGAGUAUAGACCAACCAACUACAAAAAAAACCAAAAAAAAAAUGUACGCGGUUCGGUUAGUAACUUUGAUUAUUCUCUUGUUCUCUGCAUCAUUCAACACAAUCGUCUUCGCUGGGUUAACGUACGAUAACGAAUCUCUCAAUACCAAAAUCAGAGUAGCGAUUUGGGAUCAAAAGGUGGUAAAAAAUGUAAGGGGUGCAGUAAAGCCCAGUAUCUCACGGCCUGCGCGUCAACGAUCAAGUCCAUGGAGUGGUUCUGAAAAUUCUAAUUCGACUCAAUGGGAAAGUUAUGUUGCUAUCAUUGAGGCAUUUGGCAUUUUUUUCCGGUAACUAUUUUUUUUUCCGGUAACUAGCUUUCAUGUAUUUGACAAUAUGAUCAGUUCAUAUGUGCUCUGUUUCAUAUUUUAAUAAAUUUCUUCUUGAGUGGCACAAUAUAACUUUAAAGCUUUUCAUGGGUUGGGCAAAGAUUAGUCAAUAGCAAACACAAAUUUGAAACAUUUCACACAAAGGAAUAAGAUUUCAUAUUACUUAGUAGUACCACUAAACAAACAUUACUAUUAUUUGUCGUCUCAAUAGUGGUCUCAAAGCUUUUAAAAGCUGAUGUGUCAUUUCCUGGAAAAACAAUUAUGUUACUAUCAGUUAUUUUUUGCCACACCCAAUGUGGGCGUAUGAGUACGUUGAACUCAAGAUCAAUAAAAACAAAAAUGGUCACUUAUAUAGAACUAUGAAAUAUAUAGUUCUACAACAUUGGCUUGUUUUUGAAUUUGCCAUAACCUGAAGAAGAUAUCCAGGUUGGUUGUUUAUUAUUGUUCCUACACAAUGAUAACAAAA